CCUACGGGUGACAGCAGUGGGGAAUAUUGGGCAAUGGGCGCAAGCCUGACCCAGCAACGCCGCGUGAAGGAAGAAGGCUUUCGGGUGGUAAACUUCGAUUAAGAGGGAAGAGCAGAAGACGGGACCACUGGAAUAAGCCACGGCUAACGACGGGCCAGCAGCCGCGGUAAGACGGAGGUGGCAAGCGUUGUCCGGAUUUACUGGGUGUAAAGGGCGUGCAGCCGGGAAGACAAGUCAGAGGUGAAAUCCCGCGGCUCAACCGCGGAACUGCAUUUGAAACUGUUUUUCUUGAGUACCGGAGAGGUCAUCGUAAUUCCUUGUGUAGCGGUUAACUGCGUAGAUAUUAGGUAGAACCCCAGUGGCGAAGGCGGCUGACUGGACUGCAACUGCCGGUGUGGCGCGAAAGCGUGGGGAGCAAACAGGAUUAGAUACCCUAGUCGUC
rnacentral:rRNA from 1 species